rnacentral:rRNA from 1 species
ACUCAAAUGAAUUGACGGGGACCCGCACAAGCGGUGGAGCAUGUGGUUUAAUUCGACGCAACGCGAAGAACCUUACCAGGGUUUGACAUCCCUUGACCAUCAUAGAAAUAUGACCUUCGAUCCUUCGGGAUUGACAAGGAGACAGGUGGUGCAUGGUUGUCGUCAGCUCGUGUCGUGAGAUGUUGGGUUAAGUCCCGCAACGAGCGCAACCCCUAUUUUUAGUUGCCAGCGAGCAAAGUCGGGCACUCUAAAGAAACUGCCGGUGACAAGCCGGAGGAAGGUGGGGAUGACGUCAAAUCAUCAUGCCCUUUAUAUCCUGGGCUACACACGUGCUACAAUGGCUGGUACAGAGGGCGGCGAAGCUGUGAAGCGAAGCGAAUCCCAAAAAGCCAGUCUCAGUUCGGAUUGCAGGCUGCAACCCGCCUGCAUGAAGUCGGAAUCGCUAGUAAUCGCGAGUCAGCAUAUCGCGGUGAAUACGUUCCCGGGUCUUGCACACACCGCCCGU